UUUCAGACCAGCGUUGCAUGCUUUCAUGAGGUGACUGUGUACAGGUCUGUCUUAAAUGGAAAAAAAUAAAAACAAAAGCCUAGGGCAAACCAAAGACAUAUAAAGUGACCUGCUGUCAGGCAGAGGAAAUGAAAGAAGGAUGAGACAGACAACUGGAAGUGCAGGUGGUUUUACUGCUUUUGUGAUGAAACUGUCUUCUGCCUUUGAUUCCUUUAAGGGGAGCAUGCAGUUCAGCAAACCCCUACUUUAUUUCAGUGCAUGCAAAGUAGAUUACGGCGGCAUCCAAAGGAAGAACAAAUGGAAGUGAGAUUUUAGGGUCACAACAGAUAAAUGCCCUUGAAAGCACAGCUCUGAUUCCAUGGAAAGAGUGAAACAGGCAGGCUGAGUUUUGUCUGGUGCAGCAGUGAGUUCCUGUUCCAGCCUGAGGAGAUCGGUUCCCAAAACGUCCCUGAUGACCUGUGAAGCUUCUCUGUCAGUGGAAACAACAAGAAGGGGCACUUGGUUGAGGAAGAAAGUAUGGGCUAAUCAAAACAAGAUCAAGAACAAAGACCCAAGAAGUACAAGAGGAAGGAAGAAGAAAUUUAGUCCUUAACAAUGAGGAAAGAUGGUGCCAUGUAGUGACAACCCCUAUAUCACUGGAUGAUAACAUUACACAAGAGCUGCACCACAGCUGCUCCGCUGACUUCUGUAAGACAUUCUGUCUAUUGGUUCAUUGCAGAAGAGCCUGUUAAACACCAUGAAUCUUUUUGCUCAUAUUAGGAAGAAAAUGGCAGAGAAGAUGACCCUUUUUAAAGCUUCGGGUAGAUGCCGUGCAUCAGACUGGUGAGCUAGAUUAAACCUCCAAAGGCUUUGGCUGUCUUAAGCUCCAUUGAAGUCACUGGGAUCUGAAGAUGCUCACAACUUUCUAAUUACGGUGCUGUUUGCUCCAAAGUAUACAUAUUCUUCCAGAAAGAGAGAACUACUCUUCUGAAGCAGCAGGUAAGGAAAGAAUAUGGGUAGAAGAUUUGUGGAGAAAUGGGAAAGGAUAUUUAAUAUAUUUAAUCUUAUUAUACAUUUUUCUACAUUAAAGUCAACAGGCUGCAAAUAUAUUUUGCUACAAAGCUUUUUGUAAGAAAUAUCUCUAUAAGAAAAUACAUCUCCUUAAACAUUUCCUGUAAAUAAAUUAUCCCACAUAACUAUGUUUUGUAAGAGGAGAAGGGGGAGGGUUAGGCUAACGAUAAGAAGAGCCAAAAAUUGCUGAGCCCAUUUCUGCAACCCCACUGCUCGAUCUGGGUUACAUUUUCUUGUACGUGUAGUUGCAAUUAAGGCAACAGAGCUCCUCUGCUGAGUGUGUGCUGUCUUGCAGAAUUGGUUCCUGUACUUUUUUAAUAUCUUGAAAUUAUCCUAUUUCUGAACCUUAUUACUGUUUUAGGUACACAAGAACUCCCCUGAAAUAACUGGAGCUGAGCUGUGAGAUUGAAGUCUGACUGAGACUGCUAAAAAACAAAAGAGCUCCCUCAUGGCAAUUAAAGAUAACUCCAGUAAGGUAAGAGGCUUGUGAAUUACUCUUAAUUUUCUUUCAUAAGAGUCUAAAGGCAAUGUAUUCUAAUUAGGAAAUCUGAGCCUCAGUGGGUGCAUAAGGUGUAACUUUAAAGCAACUGCUGGUAGAGAUGAGUCAGUGGAAAAAGGUGUUGUAGGUACGGGAUAACGUGGUCUCAAAACUACAUAUUGGUGUAUCUGUGAUCAGAACUGAUAAAACAGAAAAGUCUCUUAUGUUACAAAAUAUGAAGCUGAGUAAUAACAAAUGGAUAAUGACAGAUUAGCAGUAGGUCAGUUAUAGAAUCAGACUUCUUAAAAGAAAUAUCAGUCUCUUUAUCAAUGUCUAUACAAAGGAAUUACUUGUGAACAAGACAAAAGUUUGAAAAGAACUGUGUGAGAAAUCAAAGGAAGGAGACUAUCCUUUUUUUAACCGCUACACAAACAAUGUAGAAUUGUUUCCAUAGUCCAGUACUUCCAUAAUUCCUGACAGAAAAAUCCAGAGAAGAUCUUUAGAAGAGAUCAAGUUCAUGUUAGAUACAUGCCAGAAACUGGUAUGCUGCAUCAUCACAUGAUGCUUAGUAAGUCUUUUGUGGCUGUACCAUAUUUUCUUGCAUUGUUUUCUGCAGGAGAGGAAGUGCUCACAAAAUCCAACUGUUUUUUUCCUCUUUGCUACCUCUAAAAAAGAACUCCAUUUAUGCUUCUGCAGAAUGCAAUCAGAUUUAGCACUAAUAGCAAACUGCAGCCCAUUGCUACUAUUAAAGAGUAAACUUUGAGUUUAUAGCAGUACAAUCUAAAUCCCCCAAUAAGUACCUACAUCUUCUGUUAUAACAGCAACAACAGCGCAAUUUCAUAUCUCUUAGUGUUAGGUAUUCAACACUCCAGUAUCUCUUUGGAAAUGUCUAUAAUGAAGGUAAUGUUUAGGAACAGAAAGUAUAUUUAGGACUAAUGAGCAACUGUCUGUCUAUAAUUCUGGAUUCAGCAUGCAUGUAUUUGUUUCAUCUGUUCAAUCCAAUGUACGCUAGCAGUAAACCGACACAAAUACAAGCGAUUAAGUGCCCUACUAUGACAUUGAACUACAUAAAGCAUUUCAGUUCGCCUAAAUAUAGGAAAGAAAACCCUGUUUAAAUGACUCUGAUUAGAGAAACUGCUUGCUGUCUUGAAAUCAAGAGAUGGCAAAUUUUCACCUUUUUGUGAGGGCCUGCAAAAUUUAGGACUCUUGUAGCAGUCCUGCAAGCGUGCUUUCUUUGCUGAAGAGUCAGCCCUGCAUGACAAGAGUGUAUGGAGAUUCACAGUAACUGUAUUUCCAUCCCUCGCACCUGCAAUAUAUAAUAUUUUACUCACUGAUAAUGUGUUGACAGACAAGUCUUCCUGGAAUGCACUGCUUCCUAUAGGAGUACAACGUAUACAAUUUAUUUAGCAGGCAUUGCCAUGGUGGAAAACCACUGUAGCCCUUAUACCGGCCCCUGGAACAUCAUGGGACAACACAGCAAGAUGGAAAUGGAAUAGAGGAAAUUAAAUGACUUUGCUAUGCCAAGACCACAUAAGAAGUCCACAGUACCCAGUCAUGUUUUCCAUUCACUGCAGUGAUCUCUCUGGAAUAUUUAAUGUGUAGUCUGGAAGUGUCCCUGAGAGAAAAAUCCACUCUGAAGUCCUUGGGAGUAUUCACACUGAUUUCACUGGGCACUGUCCUGGACCCUCAACCUCAGCAGACUAUUUGCCCAACCAACAUCUAUGUAUUUACAUCUUAACUGAGGUGAACAAGGCAACAUGAAUGCUUACAUUGAGCCACAUAUGCUUAAGCUACUUGAUUAACUGGGUAACAAGCUGUAUUAUUUAUGACAUCAAUAAGAUACAAAUUGAUGAUAGUGAUUUAUUAUAUUGAUAAUAAAUUCCUGAUAACUUGCCACUGAGUUUAGUACCUACCAGUACAAUUUCUCUUCUCUGCAUUUGUCUCAUUUCUGUUUGAACAGUUCCAUAUGGCUCCCACAGCAUCACCGGGCAACGAGCUAUACCAUGUGAAAUAGUAGUUCAGGCUGUCUGAUAAUUGCACACUGUCUGCUCUUGGUUCUUCUAGGAACAUAAUGAGGAAUUGCUC